rfam:Geobacter sp. OR-1 DNA, contig: OR1_contig000003.
CUCUCUCUGUCAUGUUCGUUAGACUUAUAAAGCCCAGGCGGAAUGCUCAUAUCACGGGAUACUUUUGCGGUCGCGGUGUGCUGCCCCUUGCGGGAAUUGCCUGAAGCGGCACAAAGGAGCCCACUUUUAAGGGAACUCGCUGAGAGGCCCCUGAGUCGACGGCAUGGCGGAGAGAUU